GAGUUACGAUUUGAUGCAAGGUUAAGCAGUAAAUGUGGAGCCGUAGCGAAAGCGAGUCUGAAUAGGGCGUUUAGUAUUUGGUCGUAGACCCGAAACCAGGUGAUCUACCCUUGGUCAGGUUGAAGUUCAGGUAACACUGAAUGGAGGACCGAACCGACUUACGUUGAAAAGUGAGCGGAUGAACUGAGGGUAGCGGAGAAAUUCCAAUCGAACCUGGAGAUAGCUGGUUCUCUCCGAAAUAGCUUUAGGGCUAGCCUCAAGUGAUGAUUAUUGGAGGUAGAGCACUGUUUGGACGAGGGGCCCCUCUCGGGUUACCGAAUUCAGACAAACUCCGAAUGCCAAUUAAUUUAACUUGGGAGUCAGAACAUGGGUGAUAAGGUCCGUGUUCGAAAGGGAAACAGCCCAGACCACCAGCUAAGGUCCCAAAAUAUAUGUUAAGUGGAAAAGGAUGUGGCGUUGCCCAGACAACUAGGAUGUUGGCUUAGAAGCAGCCAUCAUUUAAAGAGUGCGUAAUAGCUCACUAGUCGAGUGACACUGCGCCGAAAAUGUACCGGGGCUAAACAUAUUACCGAAGCUGUGGAUUGUCCUUUGGACAAUGGUAGGAGAGCGUUCUAAGGGCGUUGAAGCAUGAUCGUAAGGACAUGUGGAGCGCUUAGAAGUGAGAAUGCCGGUGUGAGUAGCGAAAGACGGGUGAGAAUCCCGUCCACCGAUUGACUAAGGUUUCCAGAGGAAGGCUCGUCCGCUCUGGGUUAGUCGGGUCCUAAGCUGAGGCCGACAGGCGUAGGCGAUGGAUAACAGGUUGAUAUUCCUGUACCACCUAUAAUCGUUUUAAUCGAUGGGGGGACGCAGUAGGAUAGGCGAAGCGUGCGAUUGGAUUGCACGUCUAAGCAGUAAGGCUGAGUAUUAGGCAAAUCCGGUACUCGUUAAGGCUGAGCUGUGAUGGGGAGAAGACAUUGUGUCUUCGAGUCGUUGAUUUCACACUGCCGAGAAAAGCCUCUAGAUAGAAAAUAGGUGCCCGUACCGCAAACCGACACAGGUAGUCAAGAUGAGAAUUCUAAGGUGAGCGAGCGAACUCUCGUUAAGGAACUCGGCAAAAUGACCCCGUAACUUCGGGAGAAGGGGUGCUCUUUAGGGUUAACGCCCAGAAGAGCCGCAGUGAAUAGGCCCAAGCGACUGUUUAUCAAAAACACAGGUCUCUGCUAAACCGUAAGGUGAUGUAUAGGGGCUGACGCCUGCCCGGUGCUGGAAGGUUAAGAGGAGUGGUUAGCUUCUGCGAAGCUACGAAUCGAAGCCCCAGUAAACGGCGGCCGUAACUAUAACGGUCCUAAGGUAGCGAAAUUCCUUGUCGGGUAAGUUCCGACCCGCACGAAAGGCGUAACGAUUUGGGCACUGUCUCAACGAGAGACUCGGUGAAAUCAUAGUACCUGUGAAGAUGCAGGUUACCCGCGACAGGACGGAAAGACCCCGUGGAGCUUUACUGUAGCCUGAUAUUGAAAUUCGGCACAGCUUGUACAGGAUAGGUAGGAGCCUUUGAAACGUGAGCGCUAGCUUACGUGGAGGCGCUGGUGGGAUACUACCCUAGCUGUGUUGGCUUUCUAACCCGCACCACUUAUCGUGGUGGGAGACAGUGUCAGGCGGGCAGUUUGACUGGGGCGGUCGCCUCCUAAAAGGUAACGGAGGCGCUCAAAGGUUCCCUCAGAAUGGUUGGAAAUCAUUCAUAGAGUGUAAAGGCAUAAGGGAGCUUGACUGCGAGACCUACAAGUCGAGCAGGGUCGAAAGACGGACUUAGUGAUCCGGUGGUUCCGCAUGGAAGGGCCAUCGCUCAACGGAUAAAAGCUACCCCGGGGAUAACAGGCUUAUCUCCCCCAAGAGUUCACAUCGACGGGGAGGUUUGGCACCUCGAUGUCGGCUCAUCGCAUCCUGGGGCUGUAGUCGGUCCCAAGGGUUGGGCUGUUCGCCCAUUAAAGCGGUACGCGAGCUGGGUUCAGAACGUCGUGAGACAGUUCGGUCCCUAUCCGUCGUGGGCGUAGGAAAUUUGAGAGGAGCUGUCCUUAGUACGAGAGGACCGGGAUGGACAUACCUCUGGUGUACCAGUUGUCGUGCCAACGGCAUAGCUGGGUAGCUAUGUGUGGACGGGAUAAGUGCUGAAAGCAUCUAAGCAUGAAGCCCCCCUCAAGAUGAGAUUUCCCAACUUCGGUUAUAAGAUCCCUCAAAGAUGAUGAGGUUAAUAGGUUCGAGGUGGAAGCAUGGUGACAUGUGGAGCUGACGAAUACUAAUCGAUCGAAGACUUAAUCAAAA
rnacentral:rRNA from 1 species